AGCGAACGCUGGCGGCAGGCUUAACACAUGCAAGUCGAGCGGGCACUUCGGUGUCAGCGGCAGACGGGUGAGUAACACGUGGGAACGUACCCUUCGGUUCGGAAUAACGCUGGGAAACUAGCGCUAAUACCGGAUACGCCCCUUUGGGGCAAGGUUUACUGCCGAAGGUUGGGCCGGCGUCCGUUUAGCUAGUCGGUGGGGUAAGGGCCUACCAAGGCGUCGAUCAGUAGCGGGUCUGAGAGGAUGAGCCGCCACACUGGGACUGGGACACGGUCCAGACUCCUACGGGAGGCAGCAGUGGGGAAUAUUGGACAACGGGCGCAAGCCUGAUCCAGCCAUGCCGCGUGAGUGAUGAAGGCCUUAGGGUUGUAAAGCUCUUUUGUCCGGGACGAUAAUGACGGUACCGGAAGAAUAAGCCCCGGCUAACUUCGUG
rnacentral:rRNA from 1 species